rnacentral:rRNA from 1 species
CCUACGGGCGGCAGCAGUGGGGAAUAUUGCACAAUGGGGGGAACCCUGAUGCAGCAACGCCGCGUGGGUGAAGAAGUACUCCGGUAUGUAAAGCCCUGUCAGCCGGGAAGAAAAUGACGGUACCUGACCAAGAAGCCCCGGCUCAAGACGUGCCAGCAGCCGCGGUAAUAAGUAGGGGGCAAGCGGUAUCCAGAAUUACUGGGGGUAAAGGGGGCGUAGACGGGAAGGCAAGUUUGGAGUGAAAGCCCGUGGGCCAACCACGGGACUGCUUUGGAAACUGUGUUGCUGGAGUGCAGGAGGGGUAAGCGGAAUUCCUAGUGUAGCGGUGAAAUGCGUAGAUAUUAGGAGGAACACCGGUGGCGAAGGCGGCUUACUGGACUGUAACUGACGUUGAGGCUCGAAGGCGUGGGGAGCAAACAGGAUUAGAUACCCUGGUAGUC